rnacentral:misc_RNA from 1 species
AAUUGCCUGUAGUGGAAAAACUAUUCUCCAGAGAGUCCUUAACAAGUAGUAGCGCGAUGACAAAUAAAAAAUAUCGAAGGGGAAUAUAAAAACCAUCAGAACAGCGAAGUAUAAGAGGACCUGCCAUAUAGAGAAUGUUAACUGAAUGCAUUUCCAACAUUGUAAGAGCAGUCGAAAGGGAUGGGAUGUACUUUCGUCCACAAGAUAAAUAAACAUAUAAAGUUACAUAAUCAUGAUAGUUGGAAUCCAACAUCGUACUUUUCAUGAAAAAUUAACCCAUAGACAUUAUUUAUAUUUUUCCUAUUAUAUUUUUCCCAUCCACAGUUUAACCCAUUUUCAUGAUAUCUAUGAUUCUAGUUAAGUUUACAAUCCUAUCAGCUUCAAAAUUAAGAACGCAAAUGUUCUAGCACAGUUCAACAUUAUCAGAGUCCAAAUAUCUAAUCUUAAACAAUCAAGAUGUAUACUCAAAAAGGGGGAAAAAGA